UAUAUGAUUAGUCUAAUUCGCUAUUUGCUCGGGUAAUUCAUAAGCUAAUACCCGAAUCGGCUUUUCUCGAUUCGCUUCUAAAUUUCUUAAUUAUUAAGUUUUUUUUAUAGAAAUAAUUAAGGUUACAUAAAAAUAAAAUGAUAAAUUCUAUCGUGAAAAACUUUCUUAACAUUUAGGGAAUGUUUGAUAGAGAUUUUUUUUCAUAUCCAAA
rnacentral:lncRNA from 1 species